GGUAGAGCUGUGAAAUGAUGAUGAUGGUGGUGGUGAUGAUGAGAGUGGUGGUGAUCAUGAUGGUGAUGAUGAUGGUAAUGGUGGUGAUGAUAAUGGUGAUGGUAAUCAUGAAGGUAAUGGUGGUGAUGGUGGUGAUGAUGAUGAUGGUGAUGAUGAUGGUAAUGGUGGUGGUGAUGGUGAUGGUAAUGAUGCUGGUGAUGAUGAUGAUGGUGAUGUUGGUAAUGGUGAUGGUAAUGGUGGUGAUGGUGGUGCUGAUGGUGAUGACAAUGACGGUGAUGAUGGUAAUGGCAGAUGAUGGUGAUGGUGAUCAUGGUGUUAAUAGUGAUGAUGAUGGUGAUGAUGUUGGUGAUGGUGAUAAUAGUGAUUAUGAUGAUGGUGAUGAUGAUGGUGAUGACAAUUGUGAUGGUGGUGAUGGUGAUGAUGAUGGUGAUGGUGAUGCUGGUGAUGGUGGUGAUGAUGGUGAUGGUGAUGAUAAUAAUGAUGGUGAUGGUGGUGAUAAUGGUGAUAAUGAUGGUAAUGGUGGUGGUGAUGAUAAUGUGGUGAUGAUGAUGGUGAUGAUGGUAAUGGUGAUGGUGAUGAUGGUGAUGAUGAUUGUGAUGGUGGUGAUGGUGAUGAUGGUGAUGCUGAUGGUGAUGCUGGUGAUGGUGAUGAUGACGGUGAUGGUGAUGAUGGUGGUGGUGAUGGUGAUGGUGGUGAUGGUGAUGGUGAUGAUAAUGAUAAUGAUGAUGGUGAUGGUGGUGAUAAUGGUGAUGAUGAUGGUGAUGGUGGUGAUGAUGAUGGUGAUGAUGAUGGUGAUGGUGGUGGUGGUGAUGAUAAUGGUGGUGAUGGUGGUGAUGAUGAUGGUGAUGGUGGUGAUAAUGAUGGUGAUGAUGGUAAUGGUGAUGGUGAUGGUGAUGAUAAUAGUGAUGAUGAUGAUGGUGAUGAUGAUGAUGAUUGUUGUGAUGCUGGUGGUGAUUCUAUCACACCUUAAGUGCCCUUGGGCCACUUUUUGUUGGUGCCAGGCACACUGCUUAUCACU
rnacentral:lncRNA from 1 species